rnacentral:rRNA from 1 species
ACUCCGUGCCAGCAGCCGCGGUAAUACGGAGGGUGCAAGCGUUGUCCGGAUUUAUUGGGUUUAAAGGGUGCGUAGGCGGGUCUUUAAGUCCGUGGUGAAAGCCCAUCGCUCAACGAUGGAACUGCCAUGGAUACUGGAGGCCUUGAAUUCAGUUGAGGUAGGCGGAAUUGAUGGUGUAGCGGUGAAAUGCAUAGAUACCAUCAGGAACACCGAUUGCGAAGGCAGCUUACUGGGCUUGAAUUGACGCUGAGGCACGAAAGCGUGGGGAGCGAAC